GGGCCCGCACAAGCAGCGGAGCAUGUGGUUUAAUUCGAAGCAACGCGAAGAACCUUACCUAGACUUGACAUCUCCUGCAUUACCUCCAAAAAGGGAAAUCCCUUCGGGGACAGGAUGACAGGUGGUGCAUGGUUGUCGUCAGCUCGUGUCGUGAGAUGUUGGGUUAAGUCCCGCAACGAGCGCAACCCCUAUUGUUAGUUGCUACCAUUAAGUUGAGCACUCUAGCGAGACUGCCCGGGUUAACCGGGAGGAAGGUGGGG
rnacentral:rRNA from 1 species